GUAAAUACUGUGAAGAGGAGUAUUAAGAGUCAUAAGGUCCCAGAGAACUGCCGGAAGGUGUGAGGCAGUACCUGAAAACUCCCAACUCGCCUUGGAGUUCCUUUUUUGAAACUGAAGAUUUCAUACAUGCCGGGAUAACAUCAGGCUGUAAAGAUAUCGUUCCUGAGUAGAAAAAGGCGGCUGAUUCCCGUUAUAGAAAAAUGAGUGCAUCCUGCAGUGCAGGAUGAAUUAGAGUGGUACCGCGAGUUCAGCCUUUUCGUCUCUAUG
rnacentral:ncRNA from 1 species